rnacentral:rRNA from 1 species
UACGUAGGGUGCAAGCGUUAAUCGGAAUUACUGGGCGUAAAGGGUGCGCAGGCGGCGUCGCAAGUCAGGCGUGAAAUCCCCGGGCUUAACCUGGGAACUGCACUUGAAACUACGAUGCUGGAGUAUGGCAGAGGGAGGUGGAAUUCCACGUGUAGCGGUGAAAUGCGUAGAGAUGUGGAGGAACACCGAUGGCGAAGGCAGCCUCCUGGGCCAAUACUGACGCUCAUGCACGAAAGCGUGGGGAGCAAACAGG